rnacentral:rRNA from 1 species
GACGAACGCUGGCGGCGUGCUUAACACAUGCAAGUCGAGCGGUAAGGCCCUUUCGGGGGUACGACGAGCGGCGAACGGGUGAGUAACACGUGGGUGACCUGCCCUCAGCUCUGGGAGUAAGCCUGGGAAACCGGGUCUAAUACCGGAUAUGACUCCAUGACGCAUGUUGUGGGGUGGAAAGCCUUGUGCGGCUGAGGAUGGGCCCGCGGCCUAUCAGCUUGUUGGUGGGGGAUGGCCUACCAAGGCGACGACGGGUAGCCGGCCUGAGAGGGCGACCGGCCACACUGGGACUGAGACACGGCCCAGACUCCUACGGGAGGCAGCAGUGGGGAAUCUUGCGCAAUGGGCGAAAGCCUGACGCAGCGACGCCGCGUGAGGGAUGACGGCCUGGUGUAAC